rnacentral:rRNA from 1 species
GACGAACGCUGGCGGCGUGCUUAACACAUGCAAGUCGAACGGAAAGGCCCUGCUUUUGUGGGGUUCUCGAUUGGCGAACGGGUGCGUAACACGUGAGUAACCUGCCCUUGACUUUGGGAUAACUUCAGGGAACUGGGGCUAAUACCGGAUAGGAGCUCCUGCUGCAUGGUGGGGGUUGGAAAGUUUCGGCGGUUGGGGCUGGACUCGCGGCUUAUCAGCUUGUUGGUGGGGUAGUGGCUUACCCAGGCUUUGACGGGUAGCCGGCCUGAGAGGGUGACCGGCGACAUUGCGACUGAGGUACGGCCCAGACUGCUACGGGAGGCAGCAGGGGGGAAUAUUGCACAAUGGGCGGAAGCCUGAUGCAGCAACGCCGCGUGCGGGAUGACGGCCUUCGGGUUGUAAACCGCUUUCGCCUGUGACGAAGCGGGAGUGACGGUAAUGGGUAAAGAAGCACCGGCUAACUACGUG